rnacentral:rRNA from 1 species
ACAAAAACAUGUCUUUUUGUAAAUAAUUUAAAGUCUAAUCUGCCCACUGAUAAUAUUAUUAAAGGGCUGCAGUAUAUUGACUGUACAAAGGUAGCAUAAUCAUUAGUCUUUUAAUUGAAGACUUGUAUGAAAGAUUUGAUGAAAUAUAAACUGUCUCUAAUUUAUUAUAUAAAAUUUAAUUUUUUAGUUAAAAAGCUAAAAUAAUAUUAAAAGACGAGAAGACCCUAUAGAGUUUUAUAAUUUGAUUAUUUUAUUUUGGGUAUAAAAUUAUUAAAUUAAAAUAUUUUAAUUAUUUUGUUGGGGUGAUAGAAAAAUUAAACAAACUUUUUUUUAAUAAUAAACAUAAAUAAGUGAAUAAAUGAUCCAUUAAAUAAUGAUUAUAAGAAAAAAUUACCUUAGGGAUAACAGCGUAAUAUUUUUUUUUAGUACAAAUAAGAAAAAAAGUUUGCGACCUCGAUGUUGGAUUAAGAUAAAAUUUAAAUGCAAAAGUUUAAAGUUUUGAUCUGUUCGAUCAUUAAAAUCUUACAUGAUCUGAGCU